GUGCUUGCUUCCACGGUGCAUAUACUAACAUCGGAACAAUUCAGAGAUUAGCAUGGUCCCUGAGCAAGGAUGUCAUGCAAAUGUGAGAGCGUUCUCUCUCUCUC
ensembl:snRNA U6 U6 spliceosomal RNA